AUACCAUGGUGGGGAUAUUGUCUAAGCAACUCUUUAAAUCUUUCCCAAGCAUCAAAUAAGGAUUCAUCAUCUCAUUGUCUAAAUGAAAUUAUCUUGUUUCUCAUCUU